GCCAGCCCGCUCAGCAACUUAAAGGAAUUGACGGGGCCCGGCACAAGCGGUGGAGUAUGUGGUUAAUUCGAUGCAACGCGAAGAACCUUACCUGGUCUUGACAUCCCGGAGACCCUUAGGAAACUAGGGGGUGCUUCCAUCUGGAAGAAUCUGGAGACAGGUGCUGCAUGGCUGUCGUCAGCUCGUGUCGUGAGAUGUUGGGUUAAGUCCCGCAACGAGCGCAACCCUUGCCUUUAGUUGCCAGCAGUUCGGCUGGGCACUCUAAAGGGACUGCCGGUGUUAAACCGGAGGAAGGUGGGGAUGACGUCAAGUCCUCAUGGCCUUUAUGACCAGGGCUACACACGUACUACAAUGGCCGAUACAAAGGGCAGCGACACUGCGAGGUGAAGCCAAUCCCGUAAAAUCGGUCUCAGUCCGGAUUGGAGUCUGCAACUCGACUGCGUGAAGUCGGAAUCGCUAGUAAUCGUGAAUCAGUAUGCCACGGUGAAUACGUUCCCGGGCCUU
rnacentral:rRNA from 1 species